rnacentral:misc_RNA from 1 species
AAGUCGUAACAAGGUUUCCGUAGGUGAACCUGCGGAAGGAUCAUUAACACGUAUCCACGUAUCCAAACGAACCACCACGAACUGAUCUCCCCGAGACAACCUACCUCUUAGCUGUCCUGUUCGGUGCUUACAAUGGGUUUCACUUUACCGUAAAAACGUUUAGUGUGGCAUAGCACGUCUGGGCUGUUGCUCCCCGAUCAAAAGGGAGAGUGAAGGCGAAGUAAUUGGAUUGUCGGGCUUUACCAUUUUUCAAACCGCUUCAAGGUACCCAUUCUUCCCUUGGCGGUGCGAUGACCAUACCCUUUUCACCCUAUUUUACCUAAUUGGCUAAUUUACUUUAAAUUCCAGAAAUGGGAUUUAUUCUAAGAUUUAUCUUAACUAAGCACAACUCUUAGCAAUGGAUAUCUUGGUUCUC